AGACCCUGUCUCAGAAAAUAAAAUAAAAUAUUCAUAGUCUUAAUAAUGGAAAAUAAAAACAUUUACUGAAUGCCAAAAAAUCUCCCUAAAAACCCCAAUCAGUUGGGAUCUACAUAAAGAACAAUUAUGCUCUGCUUUCUAACCACAAUUUUUAAAAGAACAAAGGACAAAAAUAUCCAUCAAACGUGGGCCGGGUGCGGAGGCUCACGCCUAUAAUCCUAACACUUUGGGAGGCCGUGGCAGGUGGAUCAUGAGGUCAGGAGUUCAAGACCAGCCUGGCCAAUAUGGCGAAACUCCGUCUCUACUAAAAAUACAAAAAUUAGCUGGGCGUGGUGGAGGGUGCAUGUAAUCCUAGCUACUCAGGAGGCUAAGGCAGAGAACUGCUUGAACCCGGGAGGCGGAGGUUGCAGUGAGCCAAGAUCAUGCCACUGCACUCCAGCCUGAGCAACACAGCAAGGCUCCCUCUUGAGAGGAAAAAGAAGCAAACAACAAAUUCAUCAAAUGUAAUAAAUAAAACAUAUACUUUGGAUUUUUCCAUGUGCUUAGCUUUUCUUAGAGCAUCUUUUAGAAUUAUUGUUUCACAAAAAAACACUUUGGGAAAUGUUUUAAUUUAUUAACACAUACUAGGGCUAGGAAGAGAGCUUAAAACUUUUUAAAAUAUACAGAAUGAAUUACAGAUACGUGAAAG
rnacentral:lncRNA from 10 species